CAACUCUUCCGUUAAGUCCAAUAAAAAGAGGAAGACCAAAGAAAGCAAUAAUCUUAUUGGGAUGGUAGGAAAUAUUGUACCGCCCAAAUUUACCCGGCCCAUACCAGCAGACCCAAAAUUAAAUAAAUCCAAAUAUAACCCAAACCCCAAUUACAUGCCAAAGCCCAAUGGCCCAAAAAAUCUAAAACUAUCAGAAAACUCUAAUCCCCCUAACCCUAGAUGCGCCGCACCUAGGGUCGCCCACUUGCCCUCUGCCAGUCGCCAUCGUCGCUCGUUCGCCGCCGGACGUCCCAUCCGUGUCCAUCACCGCCCAUCCACUUGCGACGCCAGCCACCUGCAAACACGCAGUAGCAAAAUAAAAAGAAACAAAUAGGAAAAUAGGAACAAGGGGGAUUUCGACUAUAUAAGCCGAAUAUGAACUGUAACGGGGGCUCUCUCUUUUUUUUUCUUUUUUUUCGAUUCUUGUAACAAAAAUAGAUAUUAGCAGAAAGAAAAAUAACAAAAACAGAUUCGAGGUGAUUUGUUUGCUCUUCCAUUCGAUUUUGUAAAUUUGUUUCUUCUAUUCUAUUUUAUUUUCAUUCACGCAUACACAUAUAUAUAAAUAAAGGCAGUAAAUAAAAGAAAAAGAGGGUACAUUUCUUACAAAAGUCGCGCCGGAGGAGGGGGAAGCCGAGUGGUUUAGCCCCCAUUUUUACGUCUUUGGUCCGUUUUUCGUGAGUUUUGGCCCUAGAUCCACGGCCUGGAAGCAACCGGCCUAAGAGAGAAACCAAAGAGGUUCAGUUUUGCACCUCCGGUCGCCGCCCACGGCGGUGCUACGGCGGAUGUACACCGGCGAUUUAGGCCAGACCAUGGCCGGAUUUAAGAAAGGGGGAAAGAGCUUUCUCAGUUUUUU
rnacentral:lncRNA from 1 species